rnacentral:rRNA from 1 species
CGGGUUGUAAAGUACUUUCAGCAGUGAGGAAGGUGGAUAUGUUAAUAGCAUAUUCAUUUGACGUUAGCUGCAGAAGAAGCACCGGCUAACUCCGUGCCAGCAGCCGCGGUAAUACGGAGGGUGCGAGCGUUAAUCGGAAUUACUGGGCGUAAAGCGCAUGCAGGUGGUUUGUUAAGUCAGAUGUGAAAGCCCGGGGCUCAACCUCGGAAUUGCAUUUGAAACUGGCAAACUAGAGUACUGUAGAGGGGGUAGAAUUUCAGGUGUAGCGGUGAAAUGCGUAGAGAUCUGAAGGAAUACCGGUGGCGAAGGCGGCCCCCCUGGACAGAUACUGACACUCAGAUGCGAAAGCGUGGGGAGCAAACAGGAUUAGAUACCCCUGGUAG